AGCAGCAUGCUUCACAGAUAAGGAAGGGAAAUUUUCAAGUUCUAAGAAAAUUCAACGGUUCUAAGAGAGUGGUUAUGAGUUAUCCCUUUCCCUAUCAUAAAUAUCCAUAAUAUAUACAUUCAGGGGUUUUUCUAGGUCCAAUCAUCGCCUACGUGGCAUCUCAUGAUUGGCUAAUUUCAUUAAAAAUCCUACAUGACAAUCAUUCCUCCUUUCCUCUUAAUGUACACCCUUCUCCUUAACCUACACUCCUCUCUAUUUAAAAGCUUAUAUAAGACUAUUAUUCUUCAUUCAUCUUUCCAUUAUUUGGAUUUCUCCUUAACCUACACUGCUUCUUCAACAAUCUCAUGUGUUUUGUAUUAUUUGAGUCUUUCUACAUGGCUACAAAGGAUUAUGGUGUCAUUAGACCUAUAGAUGCUGAAAAUAACAAUUUCACAGAUAUGGAUCAAGCUAUUACCUUCUCAUAUCGUUCCAUUCUUUUUAAGUUUUGAAACAUCUCCGGUACAACUUCAUACUGGUGUGAUAGACGACAUCCCCUGCAACGUGCUUUCGUCAAAACCUUCUGAUGCGCGUAUAGGAUCUGGUUGGAGAAAAUUCUGCAAAUUAAUGAAAAUUAGAGGCGGUGGCAUAGUUUGUUUUAGGUUUGAAAGAAUAGAAAAUAGAAUUAUUGAAGUUAAGGUGGUGUAUGGAAAUAUUUAGUCAGUUGUUAUUCAUUCCAAAAUUUAAUCAGUUGUUGUUUCGUCUUGGGUAUCUUUUCGUUGUUUUGUUUUUCUCAAUCUACAUGAGAGGAUUGUUCUCAUGAUUUACUUUAUUUAUCAAAUAAAA